AUUUCUCUGGAUAGAGAUUGUGGUCCUCUUGAGCUGUUCUUCAAAGGGAGUUUGUCAGCCGUGUCCCAAUGGGUUCCAACCCUUUUGCCUAGAAACUGACUUUCCUCCACUUUGCUCCUGAGGGAUGCUUUGACAUGGUCUGCCACAUUCUUCAGGUCUUAUUUGUCACUACUUCACAAGAGUGCUGAGUGGUGGUGGUGCUGAAUUCCCAGUGUUUAUUUGGGUACUGGAGAAGAAAAUUGCAAAUGGAGUCCAAAAGGACUUUAACUUCUCUUUAUGGGGCAAAAUACUGCAUUAAUAUCCCAUUUUGAUGAGCAAAUUUGACUUUCAAGUCUGGUAAACUCAGUUCCAGAAGUGUCAUACAGAAAUAUUUAUUAGCAGUAUCUUACAUUAUUUUAAUUUAUUACAAAAAAAAGAUGUCAAAAUAGAGCUGUUACAUCUGAAUAUCCUUGAUCCAGGUGCCUGAGACUUAAGAGCAAUGAGGAGGGAGAGACAGGGAAAGACAGACAUGGUUUCAAAGGAUUGUCUUUUUUUUUUACGAAACAGUUUGAGGUAAGAAGAUUUGCAGUACACAGAUGUACACUGCAGAUCCCAUAGUGCCAUAGCAUGGCAGCUCAGCUAUUAGCAUCAGUCUAGCUGUGGCACCAGAGAGCGCAGAAAAUAUUGUCCUGCCCAAGAUCUAUGGCAUACUGUACUGACUGGGGCCCUAUGAAGGGCAGUUAUAUUGAGUCUUUCUGUGCUCAUUCUAGAAAGGUACUGCACUGCAGGCAAUCUUUGUUAGGUAACCCCAUUUGGAGGAGGGCAGGGAGUCCUGACCUAAGAGACUCACUUUCCUGAAGGUAGCUUAGAUGAGCUGAGUGCAUACAGAUCUUUCUGGAGUUUAUCUUCAUCUGUUAAACAGUAGAGAUAAACUGCUCCCUCUAGCAUGCUUAUGUUACAUCUUUAUGUGUAAACGUAUGAUUCCACUGCAUGAAAUCAAAUGCAGUGCGUAUACUACAAAAUAUUUUUUGUUUCUAAUAAUUUGAUUUUUAAGUGAUGUAACUUGACUCCUUCAUAGUGCCUUUCUUAGCUAUUUUCAUCAGCAUUCAGACUAAUAAGGAAUGUUCCCUAACACUCUCCAGCCCCACAAAAGUCUAGAAAAUCUUUUGUACCCUUUUUUUUUUUUUUUUUUGCUGAGAAUAUGCUUUCCCUCUAUUAAGCUAAGAUUAAUCACAAGUUUUCACAAUUUAAUCUCAGGUAAUAGGCAAUAGGAUGACACUUUUUUUAAAAAAUAUAUUUCACAAGAUUGAGUGGUAAUUAUAGAAAUUCUGCAGGUAAGCCUUUGAGAUGUUAUGUGUUUGUUCAAAUGCAACUCCAAAGUAGAGGAGGUGCAAUUCAGGUUAACAAAUUCUGCGGUACAUAUUUUGUUACGCUAACUGUGGCUGUGCUCAGCUGACAAACUGAGGCUCUUAGUAGUGAAAAACGAAUCUUUUUUUAUAUACAAGUUCUAUUGGAUUAGCUAGCACUAAAGUCUGUCUGUCCCAGCACCAACAAUAUAUGUAAGAUUUUAUUCAUUUGCUUCAUGGAUCAUAAAAUUGAGGCAUUAAAAAUGGCACUGCAACAACAGUUAUCAUGAAUAGCUGCAGUUCAGAUUGUCUUUGGAAGAAAAAUCUGAGAUAACCAGUGGAUUUACCAGUGGAAAUACUGCAAAAUCAUAGAAUGAUUGGGGUUGGAAGGGACCCUUAAGAUCAUAUUGUUCCACUCCCCCCCCUCCCACUAUGGGCAGGGACACUUCCUUCUAGACCAGGUUGCCCAAAGCCAUGACUUGAGUGCUUCCAGGGAAGGGACAUUAUCAACCUCACUCAGCAACCUGUUCCAGUGUCUCACCAUCAUGUGAAAUUGUGGGAAAAUUUAUUUUAAACCGUGUAAAAAUUGUUUGGAAGUUAAACUUUUGCUGUAACAUUGAACUUAACAUCUUAAGAAUUUAGAAGAAUAGCAGUGAGUUAUUGAAGAAAUCUUUUUUUUUUCAUCCCCACACUUUGCUUUCUUCUUUAAAAGAUAUUCUUUAAUGACAAAAUGCUGAUGUCUAGUUCUAGCUACUGGGAAAAACUGCCCAGUGCAUGAACUGUGGUGAUAUUUUGCUGUACCUUCUUCCCCAGCCAAUAUUUCAGAAGGAAAUAUGGACUUUCUGGCUUAAAGGCUUACUUAACAGUCCUGUAUUUCCUGCUUAUGUAAGUACUAGUUAAGAUGCUUGCUGUGAUAAACCGCUGUGCUUCCGAAGGCAUUAGAUGUUCUUCUGAAAUGAUACUGUGUGACACUGUUUCAUGGAAUAUUUCUAAACAAUAAAAGCAAUAUAAUUUUGAUGGUCUCUUCUUGGAUAUCAGACUACUCUGAGGUAUUCAGAACAUGCAAGAAUGGAGCCUGGUUGGUUGCUACAAACCUUCUCCUUCCCUGCAUUAAAUCAGAUUGUGUAUAUUUGCAAUUCAGUGAAAAACUUGUGU
ensembl:lncRNA